rnacentral:rRNA from 1 species
GUGGCAGCAGUCGAGAAUUUUUGACAAUGGGGGAAACCCUGAUCGAGCGACGCCGCGUGGAGGAUGAAGGUCUUCGGAUUGUAAACUCCUGUCAUUGGGGAACAAUGCGUGACGGUUAACUGCCGUUGCGUUGAUAGUACUCGAAGAGGAAGAGACGGCUAACUCUGUGCCAGCAGCCGCGGUAAUACAGAGGUCUCAAGCGUUGUUCGGAUUCAUUGGGCGUAAAGGGUGCGUAGGCGGCGCGGUAAGUCGGGUGUGAAAUCUUGGAGCUUAACUCCGAAACUGCAUUCGAUACUGCCGUGCUUGAGGACUGGAGAGGAGACUGGAAUUUACGGUGUAGCGGUGAAAUGCGUAGAUAUCGUAAGGAGGACCAGUGGCGAAGGCGGGUCUCUGGACAGUUCCUGACGCUGAGGCACGAAGGUCAGGGGAGCAAACGGGAUUAGAUACCCCGGUAGUCCUGACAGUAAACGGUGCACGUUUGGUGUGGGAGGAUUCGACCCCUUCUGCGCCGGAGCUAACGCGUUAAACGUGCCGCCUGGGGAGUACGGUCGCAAGAUUAAAACUCAAAGAAAUUGACGGGGGCCCGCACAAGCGGUGGAGUAUGUGGCUCAAUUCGAUGCAACGCGAAGAACCUUACCAGGCCUUGACAUGCAUUGCUAAGUUGGUGAAAGCCAGCGAGUGGAGCAAUCCACACCUUGCACAGGUGCUGCAUGGCUGUCGUCAGCUCGUGUCGUGAGAUGUUGGGUUAAGUCCCGCAACGAGCGCAACCCCUGUGAACUGUUGCCACCGAGCCGUGAGGCUCGAGCACUCUGUUCAGACUGCCCCGCUCUAACGGGGAGGAAGGUGGGGACGACGUCAAGUCAGUAUGGCCCUUACGGCCUGGGCUGCACACGUACUACAAUGCCCAGCACAGAACGAUCCAAGACCGCGAGGUGGAGGAAAUCACUAAAACUGGGCCCAGUUCAGAUUGAAGUCUGCAACUCGACUUCAUGAAGCCGGAAUCGCUAGUAAUGGCGUAUCAGCUACGACGCCGUGAAUACGUUCCCGGGCCUUGUACACACCGCCCGUCACAUCAUGGGAGUCGCUUGUAGCCGAAGUCGGCGCGCUAACCGCAAGGAGGCAGCCGCCUACGCUAUGAGCGGUAACUGGGAUGAAGUCGUAACAAGGUAGCCGUAAAUCUCUAGA